UAAUAAUUGGAUGAUAAGCCUUAUAUGCCGGCAUGGAUUUAGGGGCCUUAUAAAAAUUCACUAGUCCGCGGAAUACUUUUUUAACCUCUUCAAAGCCUAUUUCCAGACACCCGUCUCCUUUAAAUCAAACGUUUAAAAGCGGUGAGCAUUAUUAUAUUAAAGGAAUGGAGGACUUAGUAGUUGAGGCAGAUUCAUAACUCUUUAAAUAAUUGCUUCUAGAUGAGAAACUGACCCAUAAGUGACCCUGCUCCGAGGGCGGAAAAUAUUUGUGUCUUCAAAGAAAAGAGUGCCUUCCAGUUCAAAAAGAUGCAACCUACAAUGGAGGACAGUUUGUGAAUAAAAGUAACCCUUAGAGCUCGGGACUCGGGGACCACGAAACAGCGCUUUUUUCUUGUAGUUUGAUGCCUACUGCAAAAGCUUUAAAAUU